GUGGGGAAUUUUGGACAAUGGGGGCAACCCUGAUCCAGCAAUGCCGCGUGCAGGAAGAAGGCCUUCGGGUUGUAAACUGCUUUUGUACGGAACGAAACGGUCCUGGUUAAUACCUGGGGCUAAUGACGGUACCGUUAGAAUAAGCACCGGCUAACUACGUGCCAGCAGCCGCGGUAAUACGUAGGGUGCAAGCGUUAAUCGGAAUUACUGGGCGUAAAGCGUGCGCAGGCGGCUUUGUAAGACAGGCGUGAAAUCCCCGGGCUCAACCUGGGACUGUCGCUGGUGACUGCAAGGCUGGAGUGCGGCAGAGGGGGAUGGAAUUCCGCGUGUAGCAGUGAAAUGCGUAGAUAUGCGGAGGAACACCGAUGGCGAAGGCAAUCCCCUGGGCCUGCACUGACGCUCAUGCACGAAAGCGUGGGGAGCAAACAGGAUUAGAAACCCCAGUAGUCC
rnacentral:rRNA from 1 species